rnacentral:lncRNA from 1 species
AAUACUACUAAUCACGAGAAGCUUUAUUCUGGUUCACGAUUAGCGCUUAUUUAAGCGCUGCACGGGCGCGCGAUAGGGGCUGAUGGCCGCCAAGCACGCACGCCUGCAUACGCUAUACGACUGUGCGCAACAUCACACAUACAUAUACUGCUGACAUGCAUACAUAUACACACAUCGUAGUGUGCUCCGUUACGUGUAAGCUCAGUCAUCGGCCCUGACGACGAAGUUCUCCUUGCGCUCGUGGAACUCCCCGGUGCGGGUGUUGAAGUCCUCCUCGAGCCUGCUCUCGCGCACCUCGAAGUGACCAGAGCCGCGGCCGUGGUGACCGUGGUGACCGUGGCGGCGGCCGGAGGUGUCGAACUCCUGCACGAACGUCUCCUUGACGAUGUGCUCCUGCACGCCGCCGCCGCGGCGGGCCGGGUUGCCCACCGCCCUCACCUCCUCCGAGCAGUAGUCCACCUCCUGGAAGUGCGCCAUGCCGAUCGGUCGAUGUUACUAUGUGCUUGGUUGGGUUUGUGUGUGUUGGUGCGUUGUAGGACGAAGAAUGUUGUGGGACGAAGUGCGCUUUUAUAGUGUGGUUCCGUGCAUGAGUGGGGCAGGGAAUUUCCUCGCGAAAGACACAUCUGCACACUGCUUUCUGCCUUCUUCCUUCACUUUUUUCUAGCAUCCUCUAAGAAUUUUUGGCCAGGAGGAUCGAUACCUUGGCGGCUUUGGUGCCCAUUUUAGGUUUAUGUUGAACAUUUGGAAAAAGAACUAAUUCUCCCGCAAAAAAAAGGAAAGAAGAACUAAUUAACGGCUCACGCUGAUCUGUUGUUUGCUCCCCCUUCUGACGAGGAUACUGCGAAGAGAGCUAUUUUAGCAGUAGCUUACCGUUACCUCUCUGAUGUUGCUUCUGAUCGAUCAACGUACUAGUUUGCAGCGGCAAGCACCGGUCUAUCAUAAUCAACUAAGACCAUCUCCAACGGGCGCGCAACGCGCCGCGUGUUAAAAUAACUUUUACAGCGUCGAAAUAGCAUCUUUUUGCGUGCAGUAUGAUGCUAGCUUCAGCGGCCGCUGUAAAAUAUAACGCGCGCAAGUAGCUUCAGCAGGCGCGGUAAAUUUACAGCACUCAUGCCCAGCACAAACAAUAUUUCACAUUCAAAAUAGAACCAAGAAGAUCAAACACGUAAAAAAAAUAAAUCAACAAUAAAUAAUUCAAUUUAUUACAACUCAAACAAAUAGUUCAACAAUACAACAUCAAACAUACAACAUCACUAGUUUUGUCGGUCAUUUCAUGCCCACCACUCCUCGAUUAGAUCCUUUUGAAGAUCAUCAUGCGUUUCGGCACGUCGAAUGGCAUUGAUAAGAGGCAACAAAUCGGGCCACCCUAGCAGCCCUCCGCCGUACUCGCACUGGACGUCCCAAGAGCUCAUACUGAGAAUAGUCUAAAUCUUGCCCACGCUCAUUCUCGUUGAUCAUGUUAUGCAUGAUCACACAAGCUUUCAUGAUGUACCAAAGGAUCUUUUGAUCCUAAAAUCUAGCCGGUCCUCUCACAAUAGCAUAUAGGGUUUGCAAAAUCCCAAAGCUUUCUCCACAUUUUUUCUAGCCGCCGCCUGAGCAUCGUGGAAAUCAAGAUUUUUCUUACUUUCCGAUUUUUUUUCAACGGCUUCACAAAUGUUUGCCACUUUGGAUAGAUGCCAUCCGCAAGAUAGUAGUCAUAGUUGUAUGUAUGGCCAUUUGCUACAAACUCCACCGGUGUAGUUUCACCAUUUGCAAUCUUAUUCCUGAGUGGUGACCGGUUAAGAACGUCGAUGUCAUUCAAAGAUCCCGGCAUUGCAAAAAAAAAAACAUGGCAAAUCCAAGUCUCUUGAUUGGCCACUACUUCAAGGAUUAUAGUGGAACCCUUUUUCUGGCCGAGGAAUUGUUCAUGCCAUGUCUUAGGACAGUUCUUCCAACUUCAAUGCAUGCAAUCUAUUGAGCCAAGCAUGCCUGGCAACCUGCGAGCUUUGUUCAUCUCCAAAAGCCUUGCGGUGUCUUAAGCAUUGGGAGCUCUCAAAUACUCCGGACCAAACACUUGCACAAUUCCGACCGCGAAGCGCUUGACAUACAUGAUGGAUUGACUCUCACCCAUGACCAAGUGAUCAUCAACUAGAUCAGACGGAAUACCGUAUGCCAACAUACGCAAAGCGGCUGUCACCUUUUGAAAGGUGCUAUGCCCGAGUUCUCCGGCGGCAUUCCUUCUUUGCUGAAACAACCGACCAUGGCUCGCCAGUUUCUCUGCAAUGCGUUUGAACAACUCAAUGCUCAUCCUAAAACGACGCCGAAAGUAUGACUCGGGGUAUGUGGGAUUCUCUACAGAAUAGUGCAUCAUCAAUCUGUUGUUGGCAUCGAUCUUAUCCCUCCAAAUUUUCUGACGACCCAUAACCGAACCACCGUGCUUCGGCUUUUUAUUGACGUGCAUAGUUAGGAUCAUUGCAAGGUCCUCCGCCUCUUGAAUAUCAAAUUCUUCGUCGGAAGAAUCAUAGGACGAACUAAUCUACAAUAUUGACUUUAAACUAGUCUAUAAAACUACAAACAACAUGCAUCAAAUUCAUCUAUAAAAUAUGAAGUUGAAGCAAUACAUACCUUGCAAGCGUUUUUUCAAACACCUUGUGGGCACCGAGCGGCAGCGGGCGGCCGGGCGCUGUUCGUCGGAGGAAUGGCGCGCUCGAGGGGCGGCAGCGACGAGAGGAGGUGGAGAAAGCAGCGGCGGCGCGCUGGGAUAGGCGGGGGAAGCGCUGACGGGUCGCCGGAGCAAAUGGGGAAGGUGUGGGCGGCGGCACCAGCGCCUGGAUCUGGCGGUUGGUGGAAGUCGUGCGCGAGUCGUCGCUGUCCAGCGCGCGAGAGUGUGCGCACGAAAUAAACAGCGCGCGAUGCCGUUUUGCUCCAUAAGUUGAACCAAUUAUACCACGCACGUGUUUUUUGCGCGUUUGCUGGAGCACCCGUCCAGGCUGCGCGCGCAAAAAAAGGUGAUCGUGCGCCUGUUGGAGAUGCUUCUAAACAUUCCCCAUUUAUUAGUUAACUUAGCGUUAGUUUCUCUAACUCGUAAGAGAAUUUGUUAGUAUAAAUUCAGUUUCUUCGUAGAAGUACCGGAAAAUAACCUGGUGACUGGCAACGAGGGCUGCCAACAGACACGUCUCGAUGCUCAUGUCUUGUAGGUCACCUUCCAGAAUCCAGAGUGGUCGCCAGUCAUGUAAGAAUAAACUUAUCUCUUGCAAGUGGGAAUAUAUACUUGCGUCUCAGCCCUGCACUACGUUAGGAAGGACAGAAAGAUGCGCUCCGUCGAAUGAAGGAUCUGGUACAGAAUAGUCACCAAGUUAACUGACAUGCAUGGUCGUGAUAAGCCAUGAUACCACUCUUGAAUUGCUAAAAGCAUCUCCAACGGCCGCAUUAUAUACGCGUCGCGCGGAAAAAGUAAUGGUUUUAGCGCGCGCUAUCAUUCCGGGCGCUCCAGCGGACGCGCAAAAACCGCGCGCGCGGCAUAUGUAAUUCAGCGCGCGGGCGAAAACGCCAUCGCGCGCCGUUUAUUUGCUGCGCCCGCUCCCGCGCGCUGGACUCUCGAGCGCUCGCGCGAAACUACACCUACCCAUCCAGCCGCGCCGCCGCCGCCAUCCGCGCCACCCCAUUUUUCCGGCGACCGUUCCGGCGCUUCCCCGGUCUCUUCCCGCAUGGCCGCGGCUUCCUCCCUCUCUCUCUAGUCAGCGCCGCCCGUUGCGCGCGGCAGUCCUCCGACGAACAGCGCCCGGCCGCCCACCGCCGCUUGGCGCCCGCAAGGUGUUCGACAAAAGACCCACAAGGUAUGUAUUGCUUCCAACUUCCACAUUUUUACAUGAAAUUUGGUGCAUGUUGUUUAUAGCCUAGUUUUGAACAUUUUAGAUGAGUUCGUCAUAUGAUUCUUCCGAAGAAGAAUUUGAUACGGAAGAAGAGGUGGAUCUUGCAAUGAUCCUAGCUAUGCACAUCAAUAAAAAACCGAAGCACGGUGGUUCGGUUAUGGGUCGGCAGAAAAUUUGGAGAGAUAGGAUUGAUGCCCGCAACAAAUUGAUGAGGCACUAUUUUGUGGAUAAUCCCAUAUACCCCGAGUCGUACUUUCAUCGCUGGUUUAGGAUGAGCACUGAGUUGUUCAGGCGCAUUGCAGAGAAACUAGCGAGCCAUGACCGGUUUUUUCAGCAGAGGAGGAAUGCCACCGGAGAGCUCGGGCAUAGAACCUUUCAGAAGGUGACAACCACUUUGCGUAUGUUGGCAUACGGUAUCCCCGCUGAUCUAGUUCAUGAUCACUUGGCCAUGGGUGAGAGCCAAGCCAUCAUGUGUGUCAAGCGCUUCGCAGUCGGAGUUGUGCAAGUGUUUGGCCCGGAGUACUUGAGAACUCCCAAUGCUGAAGACGUUGCAAGGCUAUUGGAGAUGAACAAAACUCGCGGGUUCCCAGGUAUGCUUGGCUCAAUAGAUUGCAUGCAUUGGAGUUGGAAAAAUUGUCCAAAGGCAUGGCAUGGCCAAUUCCACGGACAAAAAAAGGAUUCCACUAUAAUCCUUGAAGCGGUGGCCGAUCAAGAGACUUGGAUUUGGCAUGCUUUUUUUGGAAUGCCUGGAUCUUUGAAUGACAUCAACGUUGUCAACCGGUCACCACUGAUGAGUAAGAUUGCAAAUCGUGAACUGUCACCGGUGCAGUUUGUAGCUAAUGGUCGUACAUACAACCAUGGCUACUAUCUUGCGGAUGGCAUCUACCCAAAGUGGCAAACAUUUGUGAAGCCGUUGAAAAAACUGGUAGGUAAGAAAUAUCUUGAUUUCCACAAUACUCAGGCGGCGGCUAGAAAAGAUGUGGAGAGAGCUUUUGGGAUUUUGCAAGCCCAAUUUGCUAUUGUGAGAGGACCGGCUAGAUUUUGGGAUCAGAAGAUGCUUUGGUACAUAAUGCACGCUUGUGUGAUCAUGCACACCAUGAUCAUCGAGAAUGAGCGUGGCCAAGAUGUAGACUACUCUCACUAUGAGCUCUUGGGACAUCCCGUGCGAGUGCGGCGGAGGGCUGAAAGGGUGGCCCGUUUUGUUGCCUCUUAUCAUGCCAUUCGACGUCCGACAGCACAUAAUGAACUCAAGAAGGAUCUCAUUGAGGAGUGGUGGGCUUGGAAUGGCCGCCAAAGAGCAUCAUGAUUUGUGCGUUUGAUAUUGUAUUGUUGAACUAUUUGUUGUAUUUCAUGAAAGAUACUAUUUGUUUGAGUUGUAAUAAAUUGAAUUAUUCAUUUUAAACUUGGUUGAAUGAUGUUUGUGAUUUAAAAAUUAUAUGCCAUGUCUUUGUUUUGUGGAUGUGUUGUGAGACAAAAUGCAACAAAUGUGAUGCGCCAGCUGCUCGCGCGCGCUGCAUUUUAGCGCGGCUGCUCGAGCCAGCGCUGUGCGCUGCGCCAAACCUGACGAUGGGCGCGCCGCAAACCAGAUUUUAGCGUGUCGCGCGUUGGGCGCCUGUUGGAGAUGCUCUAAGGACAUCUUCAAUGGCGUCCCCAAAUCGGAUGCAUCUUUGGACAUUGAUACAAAAGCCGGCCUUCCAACACUAUUCAUCAAACGCCUGUCCGUCUUUUCUCUUUUUCAAAAUCCGCAGCGCUUAAAAUAACUAUAGAUAAGAAAAAAAUUGAGUAGUCAAAAAAUUCAAAUGCAACACUAGUUUAAAUAUAAUAUUAUUACCUCUUUUCCUAAAUAUAAGAAGUUUUUACAAUUUAAAUUGAACUACAAAACGUCUUAUAUUUAGGAACAGAGGGAAUACAAUCCAUAAGAAAUAGUCAAACUUGAAUUCAAUUAUGUUUUAGUUAUCCCCUUUAAUCACAUGCAAUUGCUUAAUCGGAUCAUUCUUAAGCUGCUCAUGAGUUUCUCGAUGCCGAAUAUGUUGGUGCAUCUGAACAAACUCCUCAAACAUCACUAGAUUCUAAUCUGGAAGUUGGAUAGGAUGUAAUGUUCUCAAAUUUCAUAUCUCCACCAGCUCCUUCACCCUCAUUCUCCACAAUCAUGGUGUGCAUGAUGGUAGAAGUUAUCAUCACCUCCCACAAGGCCUCUGGGUCUCAUAUUUUUGCACGUCCUCAAACAAGUGCAGAACAAGCUUGGAGAACUCUAAAUACCCUCUACAUAUCCUUAUCUCCUUCUUGUCUUUGGGCAACGUGAGCUCUUCUCUGACCAACAGGCUCAGAGAUGAUCUCGACAAAGGUCGCCCAUGAAGAAUAGAUACGAUCAACUAGAUAGUAGCACAUGUUGCAAUCAUGACCAUUGAUGGUAUAGUUGCAUGGAGGAGCUUGUCCUUUAGUCAACCUAGCAAACAAUGGAGAUGGAUGCACCAUGUUGAUAUAAUUGUGAGGCCCGGGCAUUGCCAAAGAAAACGUAUCAAAUACAGGGGUCUUGUGAUGCAAAUGAUUCAAGAAUGAUGGUGGGCUUAUUAACAAGGCCCUGAUUUUUCUCUUGUAGAGCAUAUGACCACUUCUUCCCUCUCAAGUGCAUGCAAUCAAGGGAUCCGAAUAUACCUGGCAACCCUCUUGCUUCUAGCACUAGUAGAAAAUAGGGCUUUGGUUGAGGCCUGGGUAAGGGCAUUAAUCCUGGUUCACUCACAAACUGGGACCAAAGGGGGCAUCAGUCCCGGUUCGUGAGGCCAGGGCGCCAGCCGAGCCUCGUGGGCUAUUGGUCCCGGUUCGUCUGACCCCUUUGGUCCCGGUUCCAAGCAUGAACCGGGACCAAUGGGCCUCGCUCCUAGCCCACAACCUUUAGUCCCAGUUUUAGCCACCAACCGGGACUAAAGAGAGGCCUACAUAUACCCCCGCCCCUGCCCGCGAGCAGAGCCACUGCUCUGUUUUUUGGACGACCGUGGAAGAGCUCUUUGGUGCUCUAGCUCACCUCCUAUGCACAUGAGGUGUUCAACG